GAGAAACAGGAGCGGAGCCUCAGGGGGCAUUUCCUGGGGAGGAGGCCCAGGGGAGGUGGAGGAGGCCCUUGGGCAGGCUGGGACUGGCCAGGACACCACAGGGUUGCUAGGUGACAGACAACAGCGUGCCGAGCAGCUCCGGGGUGCACUGUGCCUCCUCCCAGGGAGGUUCCUCUCCGUGCCCCCCGGCCAUCACAGCGCAGGCAGCUGAGCCCGGCUGCAUCCCGCUUGGGACGUUCACUCUGAAGCGUAAUGAGGACCUUGAGCCUUCUGGAGCAGAGCCCUGCAACCCGGGGCACCCCAUCCCUGUCCCCCCCCCAGCAGCGCAGUGCUGGGACAUAUGGCAGAGCCUGCAGUGCCUCUCCUGACACUGUCGAUGUCCGUGGGACAGCCGUGACUCCCGCUGAGGGCAGAGCUCCGGCUGCAGAUCCCAGCUUGGGAGGCUCCAGAUUUGCUGCUCCCCACGCAAGGAUGGUGGAACGCGGAGCGUGGAGCUGCUGGGGGCCACAGUGGGGCAGCAGGAGCAGCUCCAGCUCUGUGUGCACCGAGGAUGUGGCUGCCAGGUGUUGGGAGGGCACAGUGGGGACCUCCGAGGAGGAGGAGGAGGAGGAUGGCAGCGGGCAGGAUGGGGCCCCGCUCCCGUGGCAGUGCCCCUGGCAGGACAUGUCCCCAGGGCUGAUGAGGAGGGGGAGUCUGGAGUCGCUGGGAGCCAGGAUAUCCAGGCUGAGCCAGAGUGGGGCUGUGACCCCCUGCCCGGCCCCCUCCGGGCACCCAGCGCAGGGCAGGGGGGAUGCAUCCCACUGGGGCUCAAGCUCCAGGGCAAAGCCCUCAGUCACCACUGUGCAUGGUGAGGAUGGGGACGCUGGACAUCUCCGGAGACCCUCAGGCAGCUCAGCCAGCAGGAGCAGGGCCAGGGCCAUGGGACACUGCAGAUGGCAGGAGCCACCAGCACGCCGGGGGUGGCAUGGAGGGGACGUCACCCUCACUGCAGAGAAGGAAGGAGAUGGCGACGGGCGGAGGAGAGCUCUCUGCACCAAAGCAGCAGUGGGACCCACCAGGAGAUGCAGCCCCCGGGCAGAGGGGCGGCACGAGGUGUCCUGCCCAGGGCAUGCAGCCAAGCCCCGGUGGCAGCGCUGGAAGCAGAAGGCCGUCCUGUCCCAUAGGGGCACGUGCGUGGGAUUGUGUGGAUGUGGAGGAGGUGGUGAGCACUCUGAGAUGGGCAAAGGGGGGUGGCAGAGGGACAGGUUGGGGGGCAGCAGGGCAGGGGCUGGGCUGGCCAUGCCAUAAGAAGGGAGGAAGGAGUGGGAGGGAGGCAGAAGGGGGGGUCCCUGUCUCAGCAGGUGCAGAAGGGCUGCGCUGAACGCCCAGGGAAGGUGAGGAGGAAAACGUUGGAUCUCAGAGAAGAGAAGAGGGAGCUGCAGGAGAGGCUCUGUGGGUUGGAGCUCCGGAUGCGCUCCAUGCUGCGGCAGAGGCAGGAGGCCCUGGGGCAGCUGCGGGCAGUGCUGCAGAAGGAGAGGAUGGCCACACUCAGGCGGCUGCAGGAGAGCCUGGAGAAGGUGAAUGGGACCAUCUGUGUCUGUCAGAACUGUCACCCAGAGGAGCUGGCAGCCCCAGGAGCCCUGAAGGAGCCACUGACCCCAGAGAGAGCCCUGCGGGAGGCAGCGACGUGUGUGUGGGAUCCAGCCCGGCCACCAUCUCCUUCCCCUUCUACACCUGGGUUGAGCCAUGCUACAGGUGCACAGAGAAGGGGUGAGCACCUGUGCCACCGCUCAGCCUCUUCCCUGCCCCCAAGCACUGUGCCCCGCCUCCAGCAGCAACACCACACGGCGCUGGGGGUCCUGCACCACGUCCAGCGCUGCCUGCGGGAGCUGCAAGUAGAGGACCUCGGUGUGCUGGGAGCAGAGCUGGGCACCACAGCAAAUGAGGAGAGGUUCCUGAUGCCACCUCUUGACAUUCCUCCAAGCCCCAACAGGAACAAGCUCGCUGCUGCGACCAGGACUCGAGAUGAAGCAUGGAGGUGGUGAUGCAUCCCUCUACCUCCCUAUGCAUACCCAGGUCGACCAGUUGUGAAGCUGCUGAACGGGUCCCACGGAAUUUCCCAUGUAGAAGCUUCUCUUAGGUCCUGGCUGGGCUCCUUCCAAGGGCUGGGGACCGCGGGACAGCAUUUUGGGUGCGAUGGGUGAGGUCACGUGCCUCCACCAGGCUGCUGUCCAAGGUCCUGCCGGGAGAACCUGGAUUCCCAACCAGCAUCUUUGCUCCUCACACUCAUUUAGGAGCUUGGAAUGGAGAGGUCCAUGCUGCAGGGGUGGUCGCUCAGUGGGGUGGGAAUGAAGGUUUUGGGUUGGGGUGAGAUAUGGAGAAGUAGAUGGGGAGUAAGGGCUGGGGGAAAUCUCGUGCCUUCCCAGGUCUGGUUGGCUGGGCCACGCACAUCAGGAGUGCUUUGGGAUGGCUGUGGGCAGAAACACUUCAGGAAAAAAAGAAGUUUAAAAAUGAGGAAUUGUUCUACUUAGGAGCUCUCAAAUAAUUUUAAAGAGGAGAAACCUAUUUCUCAGUCUUCACACAUCUCAAUGGAGAAAAUGCUGUUUUUAAUUUGCAGGAGAAUGCCCAAGGAGAGUUUCUCUGCAUGCGAGGGGGGAAAUGAGAAUUUCAUGCAGUACUGAUUGCUGCACUUCCUUGCUGGAGGAGGCAGGGAGUGAAAAUGGAAAUCUUUGUCUGCUUUCUUCCCAAUCAAAAUAAAAAUGUUCCUCAUUAUAUUUUUCUGGACUGGGGAGAUUUCUGAAUUUACUUCUGAUGCACAGCUCUGUUUGUAAGCUCCCUUUAGGUAGUGGAAGGCCACAGUGAGGUCUUCCCAGGUCCUUCUCUUCACCAGGAUACCCAAAAAUGUGAUUUUUCUGCCUUACCUCAUGCUUGCAACCUUUGGGAUGCUGAUGCAACCUUGAAAUCACCCAGUGUAAUGCAAG
rnacentral:lncRNA from 1 species